rfam:Triticum urartu cultivar G1812 contig130433, whole genome shotgun sequence.
GAAUUACUCCCUUCGUUCCGAAUUACUUAUCUUAGAUUUGUCUAGAUACGAAGGUAUCUAGCACUAAAAUGAGUCUAGAUACAUCCGUAUCUAGACAAAUCCAAGACAAGUAAUUCAGAACGGAGGAAGUACUUG